rnacentral:rRNA from 1 species
GACAGAGGGUGCAAACGUUGUUCGGAAUUACUGGGCGUAAAGCGCACGUAGGCGGCUUCUUAAGUCGGUGGUGAAAUCCUGGAGCUCAACUCCAGAACUGCCUUCGAUACUGGGAAGCUUGAGUCCGGGAGAGGUGAGUGGAACUGCGAGUGUAGAGGUGAAAUUCGUAGAUAUUCGCAAGAACACCAGUGGCGAAGGCGGCUCACUGGCCCGGUACUGACGCUGAGGUGCGAAAGCGUGGGGAGCAAACAGG